GGUCCCAUCGUCUAGUGGUUUAGGAUACCGGCCUCUCACGCCGGAGACACGGGUUCGAAUCCCGUUGGGACUAUCA
rnacentral:tRNA from 1 species